UACGUAGGGUGCGAGCGUUGUCCGGAAUUAUUGGGCGUAAAGGGCUCGUAGGCGGUUUGUCGCGUCGGGAGUGAAAAUCCAGGGCUUAACUCUGGACUGGCUUCCGAUACGGGCAGACUAGAGGUAUGCAGGGGAGAACGGAAUUCCUGGUGUAGCGGUGAAAUGCGCAGAUAUCAGGAGGAACACCAACGGCGAAGGCAGCUCGCUGGGACGGUACUGACGCUGAGACGCGAAAGCGUGGGGAGCGAACAGG
rnacentral:rRNA from 1 species